rnacentral:lncRNA from 1 species
UUCCAAUCCCAUCAAUCUGGCAAUCACAUUUGAAGAAGUAGAAUAACUCUUGUCCUUCUUCUUUACUACCACCUGUGGUGAUGUUUGAUCUCUGGAUUUAGUAAUUGACUCCUCCUCCUGAUCUCUUCUUCUCCUGUAAAGCAAAGAAGCCCUUUCCUCAACUGAAAGCAAGUUCUGCCUAUCAAAGCUGUCAGUAAUUGCCAUCCUUAGCUCAUCAAUGUAAUCCCCUCCUCCAUCAACUGAAA